UACGGAGGGUGCAAGCAUUAAUCGGAAUUAUUGGGCGUAAAGGGCGCGUAGGCGGUCAAGCAAGUCAGGUGUGAAAUUUCGGGGCUCAACCCCGAAGCGGCACUUGAAACUGCAUGACUUGAGGUAUGGCGGAGGAAAUGGAAUUCCACGUGUAGCGGUGAAAUGCGUAGAUAUGUGGAAGAACACCGGUGGCGAAAGCGGUUUUCUAGCUUAGACCUGACGCUGAGGCGCGAGAGCAAGGGGAUCAAACAGG
rnacentral:rRNA from 1 species